GCCAGUGUGGCAUAGUGGUUUGAGUGUUGGUCUAUCACUCUGGAGACCAGGGUUUGAUUCCCAGCUCUGCCA